rnacentral:rRNA from 1 species
UACGUAGGGUGCAAGCGUUUGUCCGGAAUUAUUGGGCGUAAAGAGCUCGUAGGCGGUCUGUCGCGUCGAAUGUGAAAACCCGGGGCUCAACUCCGGGCCUGCAUUCGAUACGGGCAGACUAGAGUUCGGUAGGGGAGUCUGGAAUUCCUGGUGUAGCGGUGAAAUGCGCAGAUAUCAGGAGGAACACCGGUGGCGAAGGCGGAUCUCUGGGCCAUUACUGACGCUGAGGAGCGAAAGCGUGGGGAGCGAACAGG